AUGAAUGGAGAUCAGAGACAUGUCCAGUGCAAAAUAAAUUUCACACAACCAUCUUAACACUUGAAGUGUUCAUGGAUGCAACACUGAACAUCUCAACUCGAAGAGAUCACGAGCACGCACACAACCAUCAUCAAAAGGUUGGUACCUUCCCUAGUGUUUCACCAUCAACCUAACCAGACCACUUCUCUAGAUGUAUGUACAAAGCGUCGAGGUCCUCCACCUUGAGGAACUCCGGACGGUGGCGUCGUCCUCCACCUCGGUGACCUGCGGACGGUGGCGUCGAGGUCCUCCACCCUGGGGACCUCCUGCGUCGCAAACACCUGGACGAUAAUUUGUAUGACGCGGUCGCGGGG
rnacentral:lncRNA from 1 species